rnacentral:rRNA from 1 species
UUUAGUAAAUGAUUAUUAUUUUAAAUUUUAUUUGUUAUUCUUAAUAAAUUUUAAAGGUAUUGGCGGUAUAAUGAUUAAAUUCUGAGGAACUUGCUUAUUUAAAUUGAUAAUACUCAUUAAAUUUUAUCUAAAUUUUUUUUAUGUAUUGCUGUUUAAUGUAUUGUUUGAUAUUAAAUAGAUAAAAAUAAUAAUUUUAUUUUAAUUUCAAGUCAAAAUGUAGAUUUUUUUAGGUAUAAGUGAGUUACUUUUAUAGGAUAUAUGAGGCUGUAAAGUAAAAUGAAAUUUUUUUAUGAAUUAAUGUUGGAUUAGGGAGUAAAAAAAAAUUAGUAAGUUUUUUUGAUAUAUUUAUCUUUAUGUACAUAUCGCCCGUCGCUUAAGAAGUAUAAAAAAUUUUUG